CCUACGGGAGGCAGCAGUGAGGAAUAUUGGUCAAUGGGCGAGAGCCUGAACCAGCCAAGUCGCGUGAGGGAGUACUGCCCUAUGGGUUGUAAACCUCUUUUGUCGGGGAGCAAAAGCCGGACGGGUCCGGCCGUGAGAGUUCCCGAAGAAAAAGCAUCGGCAAACUCCGUGCCCGCAGCCGCGGUAAUACGGAGGAUGCGAGCGGUAUCCGGAUUUUAUGGGUUUAAAGGGGGCGCAGGCGGAUUGUUAAGUCAGCGGUAAAAUCGUGGGGCUCAACCCCAUCCAGCCGUUGAAACUGGGGAUCUUGAGUGGGCGAGAGGUAUGCGGAAUGCGUGGUGUAGCGGUGAAAUGCAUAGAUAUCACGCAGAACCCCGAUUGCGAAGGCAGCAUACCGGUGCACAACUGACGCUCAGGCACGAAAGCGUGGGUAUCGAACAGGAUUAGAUACCCGGGUAGUC
rnacentral:rRNA from 1 species